GAUAAAAAAAAAAAACUGUUAUAGGAUCGCAAAUUCACGGACUCACCUCACUCUCUUUCUUUCUUUCACUGCACUGACCUGGAAAAAAAACACCCAGAAAGACGGACUACGGUUACCGUCACAGACGGCUGCUGGCAACAUCACACACCAUACACGCUGCUGCUUCCUUCUUACGUACACACAUAUAUAGAGAGAGAGGGAGAGAAAGCAAUUCACGAGGAUGGUGAGGAUAAUUCCCAUGGCGUCCUCAAUACGACCUUCCCUCUCGUCGUUUAGGUUCUCCGGUGGUGUUUCCACUUCCCGCUUUGGCCUUUCCCUUUCACCCCUUCGCCUUCCUUCUCACCUCCAUUUCUCUCAUCUUACCAGCACUGUUCCUCAGACACAUUUCUUUGGUUUGAAAGCUUCAAAGCUUUUGAAAACUGCGGGAACCAGGGUAGGGAUGCCUCCGGUCGGAAAUGUGGUACACGCAAGCACGGCUACUGCCCAGGAAACUGCUCUAGAGUGGGUUAAAAAGGACAAAAGAAGAAUGCUCCAUGUCGUUUAUCGAGUCGGGGAUUUAGACAGGACCAUCAAAUUCUACACCGAGUGCUUGGGAAUGAAACUGUUGAGGAAACGAGACAUACCAGAGGAGAGAUACACGAAUGCUUUUCUUGGAUACGGGCCAGAAGAUUCUCACUUUGUUAUUGAACUAACUUACAAUUAUGGAGUUGACAAGUAUGAGAUUGGAACCGCAUUUGGUCAUUUUGGUAUUGCUGUUGAGGACGUUGCCAAGGCUGUGGAGCUUAUAAAGGCUAAGGGUGGAAAAGUAACCAGAGAACCUGGUCCAGUGAAAGGUGGUUCCACUGUAAUUGCAUUUAUUGAGGAACCUAAUGGUUACAAGUUUGAACUGAUUGAAAGGGGGCCUACUCCUGAACCUUUGUGCCAAGUAAUGCUCCGUGUCGGUGAUCUUGAUCGCUCCAUAACUUUUUAUGAGAAGGCCUUCGGCAUGGAGCUUCUUCGCACACGAGAUAAUCCAGAGUACAAGUAUACAAUAGCCAUGAUGGGUUACGGGCCUGAAGAUAAAAAUGCUGUGCUUGAGUUGACAUACAACUAUGGGGUCACAGAAUAUGAUAAAGGAAAUGGCUAUGCUCAGAUUGCAAUUGGCACAGAUGAUGUUUACAAAACUGCAGAGGGAAUUAAACUUUUUGGUGGAAAAAUCAUGCGUGAACCUGGACCAUUACCUGGAAUUAACACCAAGAUCACAGCAUGCUUAGAUCCUGAUGGUUGGAAGACGGUUUUUGUUGAUAAUAUUGACUUCCUCAAGGAAUUGGAGUGAGGUUUAGAGACAUUCUGAUAUGAUCCUUUUGACACGGAAAUCCAAAUCCGAUCUGCAAGGAUUUGUGGAAGAACUCCGCCAAUCCCGUUUUGUAGAUGAGUCUUCUACAGUGACAAUUGCAUAGCUUCGUGGAAGUGAAGAAACAUCGAGAUGAGAGAAGAAUGGCACAGCAAACAUACCUGCUUAUCUUAUGUGUUUAAGGUUGAGGCCAUUCCACGAAAUCAAGGUAAUCAGACAGUAUCUUAAAAGUCAACAUAUAUCGCAUUUCUAUAGAUACUAGCACAUACGAAUAUCUAUUGAUUUUGUGAAAAAUAUUUUAUAUAUGUACAUUAUUGACAUUAAAUACAUUUAUAAUAUAAAAUACUAAUCAAUUACAUUGACUUUCUUUUAAGCCUUAUCGUAAAAUUAAACCCGGUUUAUUAUUGGAACCAGGUGUUUUGAUCCGAUUAUCAUAACCUGAUUUCAGAACAACUCAUAUAAUAUUAUAUAGCUACAUAAUUUUAAAAAAAAAAAAAAACCUUAAAAAGGGGAAAAAAUUACAAUAAAAAACUUUCAUAAAUGGGUAUCAUAACUUAAAAGGCCCUAUCAAUACUAUUUACACACAAUACUUGAACAUUUCUUUCUUUUUUUAUAUUAUUACAAAGUUCAGCCUGCAGUGCCUAAUUUCCCAACAUUUUAAGACCUACUAAAUCAUGGAAACAAACAAAAUGUUUGUGAUCAUCCAACUUUAGAUUUCCUGAACUCCACUACAGGCAUGAAUCGCAC